rnacentral:SRP_RNA from 1 species
CGCCAGGAACCACGCGGACAGCCGCCGCCCAAUCCCGCCAGGUCCGGAAGGAAGCAACGGUAAGCGGAAGGCUGUUGCGCCGUGGUCUUUCUGGCUGCG